UCUAUCUCUUCUUCCCUGUUCUUUCUCUUCUUCUCUCUGUUGAUCUCGAUUUCGAGAUUUUGAGCGUGAAUUUGUGUGAGAAAUUUAUCUUAAGCUUGUUGUAUGUUGAACUGAGGGAGAAGGUGACGUUGCUGCUGCUGAUUGGAUUUUGGAAGAUAUAGAAAAUUAGAGUUUGAGAUAUGAAUGAGCUAGGGUUUCGUUUGAGUAUCAAAGAAGAAUUAGAAGAUGUUGAUGAAGAAGAUGAUGAUUGCGAAAAUAGAACAUGGGUUUGUUAUUAAUUGAAGAACUAGCUGUUGAAUUAGGGUCUCUCAGAUGAUUAUUUGGAAGUUUGAUUAGAGGCGAAUAAGAUGAAAUUGGAUAUAGGUUUAGCCUGAAUUAGAGUUUGAAAUUAAAGAAUAGAUUGAAAUUAGUAGUUAGGGUUCGGUUCUGUUUUAAUGAAGAUUUGAGAAUUGAGUUAGGUUUUGAUUGAGAACUGCUAGUAAUGAAGAUUAAGGCUGCUGUUAGUUCGAGAUGGGUUGUUGAGUUCAGUUAACGGAAGAAGAAAUUGAUUUCCAAUUGCGUGACAGAGAAUUUAGUUGAGGUAAUGUUCUUCUCAUUUACUUGAGCAGAGUUAUUCAUAUCCAGUUUUGAGUAUUUGAUGGUUAAUGAAAAUUGAAGUUGUAUUUUAAGUUUGUAUUUGAUUUGCAAGGUAUAUGUGUGUGCUAUAUGAGAUAAAAUGGAGUUAUUAUUGAUCUGAGUUACAUGUGGUGUAUGAGUUUAAGAAAAGAAGAGAAUUUGUGUCUGAGAUUUGGUGGAUACUGAAUUGAGUAUCUAGUGGUGGAUUUCUGAGUUUUAGUUGAAGUUAACUCAACUGAAGCGAUGAAUAUUGAUGUUUGUAGGUCAAACUGUAAAUUGUAUGUUUAGAGAUGAAUAUUGAUGUUACAGGUGAUGCUGCUUUUAGAAAUAGGUGAGGUUGUUGUUGCAGGAAAGGUGUUCGUGGAAUAUUGUAUUGGUGUUUGUUGAGCUGAGGUGUAGAGUUACUUGAAGUUGGAUAUGAGGUGGUUGUGAUUUUGGUGGAGAAGCUGAGUAGAGUUAUGGGUGAAGGUGGUGAUUACGGAAGUAAAGUUGUUGCAGAAUAUUUGGUUGAGAUAGAGCUGAGCAUUGAGUUGUUGCUGGUGGUGUUGAGUUGGGAAAGUUGGGUAUGGAUUCUAAUAGUGUGAUUGCUGGUGAUGCUGGAGUGGUUAAGAAUGGAUAUGGUGAUGUUGUUUUGGUGAAUUCAGAGCGUAGAUUGUAGUUGCUGUCAAAGCUGCAAUGGCAGUUAGUUAUUAACAACGAUCGAUUCAAAGGAUGAACCAGUGGAUCUCGAGGUAGGCGUGGCUUGUCAUCAAAAGAGAGGGAAGACCCGACGGAAAAGGCUUGCGGUUCUUAAAUGAGCGGGCGAAACUGGAUGUUCCUGUAAAGCUUCUUAUUGGCUCUAUAGUGGCAUACAUCAUGGAUGAGGUAGGCAUGGUAUAUGAGGUAGGCAUGGUAUUUGUUGGGACUGAUGGAGAGGUAGAAAAUGACAACAUGACGGGAACAUACCAAAUUCCAUUGGUGGCUCACAGAAUGAACAAGCCAGUGUAUGUUGUUGUUGAAAGUUACAAGUUUGCACGUCUCUAUCCUUUGGACCAGAAAGAUCUCACCCCUGCUUUACUCGAUCCCCAUUGAUUUUGGGUUCCCAUUCUUAUCUGGGAUGGAAGUCGCGCAGGUACACCAUCUUUGUAACAAAUAUCAACGAAAACAUCACGAACGAUAUCAUGUCGAAACUUAGGACCUACAUCUUUAGCACAAUGAAGCACAGGAUCCCCAAAGAUGUCCAUGGAUUUGUUGCAACUUGGGCAUAAGCCAUUCUCAACAAACAGUGGGAUACCGAGGCGAUAACAAAACACAGCUCUGAAUUGUCUAGGUCCAACGAACUGAUUAAGCCCACUAAUGGGUAUGGCCAAUAAAUAGUCUUGUGCAUGCUUGACAUGAUUGCACUUCCACAAAAUAGAAUCUCCUACAGACAUAGAAAACUGGUAGGGGAUUUGCUUCUUAACUGCAUCAAAGUAAGUGACUGCCAAGGAAUGCAGAGAAGGGGGGGAAGUAACGUCGACACAGUAAGUGGAAGGUAGUCCACAUACCUGAAUAAAAUUCUGAAGAGAAAAUUGAUAAGAAGGACCCUUGUCUAUUGAGAAUGAAUCACCAAGAAACACCUUCUGCACCGAAGUAGUCUGACUCUGAGAAGCGAGAUAACAAUAUGUACCGGUAUCAGCCAUGGUGUAAAUGCCGAGUCCACCAUACUUGAUAGGCAAGGUAGCUAAUCGUUGUUGUAAAGGACCAAACCCCGCACCAUCGCCAGUAAUUAGAAGUCUCAAGUACUUAAGUAAAUGAUCAUCGAAAAGGGCAGUGGCUGAUUGCAAGGCUUCAGGAUUGGUAGUAUGCAUUACAAAAUAUAAUCUCGAAACGCCAGUGCAAUUGCGAAGUAAUAACAUCUCACUUUGGGGGUCUUUGAGUAUUUUGAUUGCCGCCAUUAGUUGAACAGUGUUAUUAUUCACCCUGCUCAACAACAUAUCGCUAAUAAAGUUCAUAUCCAAACUCACUGGUCCACCCAAAAUUUUAAUGCCAUUAGAAGGUCUACCAAUAUCAGCAGGAAAAACACCAUCAGCUAUACUUCUGGGAUCAAUAGAAGGACAAAAAACUUUUGUAUUCUUUAUAUUAAGAUGUAAACCCCUGCACGGUCCUUUUAUUUCGACUA